UUGGGGAAUCUUCCGCAAUGGACGAAAGUCUGACGGAGCAACGCCGCGUGAGUGAAGAAGGUUUUCGGAUCGUAAAGCUCUUUCGUUAGGGACGAACGUGCUCUUUGUGAAUAAUGAGGAGUAAUGACGGUACCUAAAUAAGAAGCCACGGCUAACUACGUGCCAGUAGCCGCGGUAAUACGUAGGUGGCAAGCGUUGUCCGGAAUUAUUGGGCGUAAAGCGCCCGCAGGCGGGAUCUCAAGUCUUGCUUAAAAGUGCGAGGCUCAACCUCGUGAGGGGACAGAAACUGGUAUUCUUGAGUGUAGGAGAGGAAAGUGGAAUUCCAAGUGUAGCGGUGAAAUGCGUAGAGAUUUGGAAGAACACCAGUGGCGAAGGCGACUUUCUGGACGAUGUCUGACGCUGAGGCGCGAAAGCUAGGGGAGCGAACGGGAUUAGAAACCCGGGUAGUCC
rnacentral:rRNA from 1 species